UGAAAUUCACUCCACUGUGAACAGAAGGAGGAAUCAAGUACAGGCUGUAUCGAGAAGAGUGUUCUAGAACAAUUUGAGUUUUUCACAACGAUAUCAGAUUAAAAUUGAUGUCCUAACAGCCUUUUGGAAAUUAUGUAGGGAAACAUUCAGCAUUUCAAAUGAUACUUCAAGCCGUCUGCAUUGCUGUCGUAAUGAUCGGAUAUCGUUGUUGAUCCAAGGCUGAGACUUGUUUUGGGGAUAGACAAGCUUUCAAGGUGCAAAAAGGUCCAAAAUGUCAAAGCAUUUGCAAGUAAAAGAUUGCAUCUGCUCAUCAACAUCUAGAUGUGAUGUAACAGAAUCAGAAAUAAGCAGAUUUUCAGUCGCCAAAUACAGUUCAGAGAAGACAUGUUUGGAGUGCGAGGUCAGAAUACGUAAGGUUUUAGGUGGAGCCGGAAGGAGUGUAGAGCAGAGAUCUGUGAUCAGAAAGUGGAACAUCACAGAUGUCAAUGUCAGCUACAGACAGCCCAUAUGUCAAUAUUAAAUCAAGCGGAUGACCGUGAGAGUAUGUAGGACCAUUCAUCCACUGAACAACAUCCAU